rnacentral:rRNA from 3 species
UCCUUGAGAGUCCUGAAGGAACGUUGAAGACGACGACGUUGAUAGGCCGGGUGUGUAAGCGCAGCGAUGCGUUGAGCUAACCGGUACUAAUGAACCGUGAGGCUUAACCUUACAACGCCGAAG